GUCAGUGUGGCCGAGUGGUUAAGGCGAUGCACUCGAAUGGCGUACCUGUGAAAGGUUCUCCAAUUAGCUAUGCAUUACGUUCGCGUGCAGAGGUUCGAAUCCUCUCGCUGACG
rnacentral:tRNA from 1 species